GCUAUUUGCCUCCACCAUCUGGUCGGUCAACGGGAUAUCCUCAAGGUCCAGCAGGAGGAACUGCUUUUGACACAGGAAUCCCUGAAGUUGUCGCCGCAAGAAGCCUUAGUCUUCAAAAUACUGACAAUGGAUUCGGAAGGAAUAGUUUCCAAGAGCGUGGGGUAAACGCUAGACUCGUUAAUGGUCUAAGAGACCAACAACAUGGAAGCUUCGGUGCUAAUGGCGUCCGAGAUGAAAGUGACACCGUGAGCCUUGAAGCGGAAAAUAGCGGCUUCAAAUCUCGUAUAUCCUAUCAAGACUCUGAAGAACACAGUGGAUACGACGCAAGCAAUGGUCGUUCGAAUGGCAAUGGCUACCGCACACGUGGCAACCAUGCUGCACGAUCAAAUGGCUACUGAUGACGUGUUGUUUUCUUUUUUUUUUAAUAUUUCGUGUAUAACAAAUUC